GUAAAAUAAUGGAUACCAUUAAAUAUCUUACGAAGAUCAUACAAAAUUUCAUCACAAAAGCCACUUUGAAGAACGAACGUCUACAAACAUUCCAAUGGUGCGAAGACCAUUGAAUGCGCAAUAUAUGCAAUACCUGCGUGUGCAGCAGCAGUGCACAGCCCGAAUACAUGAACUCGCACGCAUUUACACGACUCACAGGAGAAACUGUGGAAGGUCUUCGUGAGAGCGAUUAUCUUCUGAUUCAUUCGUGUCGGCAGUGGACAACAAUUACAGCUCACAGUCUGGAGGAGGGUCACUACGUCAUAGGGCCAAAGAUAGAAAUCCCUGUACAUUAUGCAGGGCAGUUUAAGCUGCUGGAACAAGACCGAGAUAUUAAGGAGCCAGUGCAGUAUUUUAACAGUGUGGAGGAGGUGGCUAAAGCAUUUCCUGAACGAGUUUACGUCAUGGAGGAAAUAACAUUCAACGUUAAGGUAGCUUCAGGUGAAUGCAAUGAAGACACUGAAGUUUACAACAUUACCCUUAGUACUGGGGAUGAGCUCACUUUAAUGGGGCAAGCAGAAAUCCUUUAUGCAAAAUCUUCUAAGGAGAAGUCACGGCUCAACACCAUCUUCAAAAAAAUCGGGAAGCUUAAUUCGAUUAGUAAGCUAGGCAGAGGCAAAAUGCCCUGCCUCAUCUGCAUGAACCACAGGACCAACGAGAGCAUCAGCCUCCCUUUUCAGUGUAAGGGCAAGUUCAGCACCCGCAGCCCACUGGAGGUGCAGAUGCAAGAAGGUGAGCACACCAUUCGCAAUAUAGUAGAAAAAACCAGGCUGCCUGUUAACGUGACUGUGCCAAGUCCUACACCAAGAAACCCUUAUGACCUGCAUUUUAUCCGUGAGGGGCACAGGUACAAGUUCGUCAACAUUCAGACCAAGACCGUGGUAGUUUGUUGCGUGCUUCGUGGAAACAAAAUCAUUCCCAUGCAUUUUCCCUUGCACUUGACACUUCCAAAAUUUAUUCUACCUGAUAGCGUGGUGAAGGGGGAGCUGUGGCACGAGCCCCUCAUCCAGCACUGGUUUAACGUAUGCCAGGAGCAGUUUGACAUCGACGAGUACUCGCGCGCCGUGCGAGAUGUGAAGACUGACUGGAACGAGGACUGCAAGAGCCCCAAGAAGAGCCGGUGCCCGGGGCACAGCCACGUGCCAAACUCCCUCAGCUACGCGCGGGACGAGCUCACCCAGUCCUUCCACCGCCUCUCCGUCUGCGUCUACGGCAACAACCUGCACGGGAACAGCGAGGUGAACCUCCACGGCUGCAGGGACUUGUGCAACGAGUGGGCCCUGUUCUCUCACGAUGCUCUGCAGUACCAGGAGUCGGGGGACAGCAGCAGCGAUUACCUUUUCCCUGAGGUUAGCGAAGAGUCCAUGUUCCUGCCUACGAAACCAGAGCUUCCUUACGAGGAGCUCUGGUUGGACCAAGGGUGUGGAAAGGGUGGUGAUCAGCCUCUCUCUUGCUCCCUGGGUGAGAAGAACAAGUGUGACAGCUACAGAGGAUCUUUCCGAUCAAAGUGUGGUACCGCGUCCCUUCCUGUGCCUGCAACUGUUGGAACAGCCACGAAGUCUUCAGAUGUUUCCCUACCUCCACCUCCAGUGCCUCCCAAGUCAGAAGCAGUAAAAGAGGAAUGCAGGCUGCUGAACGCUCCGCCGGUCCCGCCACGGAGCUCGAAGCCGUCCUCCACCAGUCCUUCCAUCCCUCCUCGCACAGUGAAACCUGCUCGGCAGCAGACCCGCUCUCCCAGCCCCACUCUGUCCUACUACUCCUCAGGACUGCACAACAUUAAUGUCACAGAGAGCGACAGCAGCAACCCAACAGAGAGCACACCUGUUUCCUGCUACCCAUGUAACAUGAUGAAAACUGAAUCCAAAGAGCCUGAGAGCACAAUGCCUUUGGGAAGCCCCUCAGCUGAAGCUCUGCCUUCGAGGUUAUCUUGGCCAAACCAUUUUUCAGGAACUGCUGAAGGCCUGAAUAGGAGUGAUUUCCUGCUUGACCCAAGCAGGAGCUACAGUUACCCCAGACAGAAGACUCCAGGUACGCCAAAGAGAAACUGUCCAGCACCUUUGACUUUUGACUUUGAUGGGUGUGAGCUCCCAACUGGGUACUCCCCCCUGACCCCAGCAGAGUUCACAAACACCAUCUCCAGCUGUCCAAAGUCAGCAAGUUACUCUCUAGACUGCACUGAUGAGAAAACUCUGGGAGUCAGCAACACAAAGCAGAGCCAUUCGUGUCCUGCCUUACCUCCUCGGGCGCCGAAGUCGAGUGAAGAUAAGACAGUGACAGACAUGUGUCCCUUGCCACUGAAAAUAGAUGGUGCUGAGGAGGAAUCAAAAGCUGGCUCUCCAGUCAUCUUGGAAGAUCAGUAUCUCGCUAAAAAGGGCAUGCAGGAUGCAUUCUCUGUGUCUUACCCCUUCUCAUCUCCCCUCCACCUCCAGUUAGCACCAAGGUCUUGUGGGGAUGGCUCUCCCUGGCAGCCACCCACAGACCUUUCUGGACUCUCCAUAGAGGAAGUGUCUAAAUCCUUGAGGUUUAUUGGUCUGUCAGAAGAUGUCAUAUCAUUUUUUGUCACAGAGAAGAUUGAUGGAAAUUUGCUGGUUCAGCUUACAGAAGAAAUCCUAUCAGAAGACUUCAAGCUAAGCAAAUUGCAGGUUAAGAAAAUAUUGCAGUUCAUUAAUGGCUGGCGGCCCAAGAUGUGAUGCUGUCUAGUUUUUAGUGAAACUGUACUCAAUACAUUUGAGCUAAUACAUCACUUCCUGGUUUUUUGCACUAAAAAUUCUUUUUGUAAAUAGUAGUAGAAAAAUUCUUACUAUGCAGAUAAACAUUUUUCAGUGGUGAAUGGACUUUUUUUUUUCUAUGUCAAUAAUAAAGGUAGAGAAUCUGCAGAGGUGUGCCUUUGUGCAUCCCUGAACAUUCAACAGCUGCUAAAAACUGGACACUAAGGGAACUUUGACUCCAUAGUCUGUUAAGACUUAGUCGUAUUUAUUACUGGACAAUUUGAUGCUGAAAGACACACACCAAUCCAGUUUACAAUUUUCUGUUAACUGCAAAAAAAAGGUAUUUCUUAUGGGAUUACUUCUGUUCACAUAAUAUUUGGCAACAUGCUGUGACUCACAGAAAGCAUUGGUUUUGACACUACAUCUGAAAGUGUUAAGAAUUGCUGUGAAGUGCCACUAAUACACUAUUCUUGCAGCAUUAUUUUUAUCAGUAUCUUCCUGACUAUCUGCAACAUGGAUUUAUUUUUCCAUGUUGCUUUGAGCAAAAAGAGUUAAAUGUUUUUAAACCAAGAGUCAUGCUUAGCUCGUUGCCCAGAGGGGAGGGAGAAGGGGGAUUUUCUACUGAGCCACCCUGCCCUGGCCAAUUAAAAGUUUAUGACCUGUAGAUUUCAAAAGUUGCUUUUGUAGUCGGAUGACUGGAGUAAAUAGCAUGACUUCUGGUCGUGCAGCUUUCUCAUGGGAAAAGCAGUUCAGUGCACAGGCUCUUUUCUCAGCAGAUCCUGCCUGCUGCAGCAGCCUGCUAGCACAGCCCUUUCAGGAGUCGUGCUGUGGUGGAAGGUAACAACUCCUUGUGUUUCUUCUGCUGCUGUUCUGAUUGUCUGAAAACGUGCUUGGUCUGCUCUCCUGAUCCUGCAGUCUGACCUGUGUGGGAAGGUGAUAGUGCUCCUGUGUCAUGCCUUUGAAAUAAAGUGCUGGCAAGGUGGGAGGGAUCGGAAACAGAGCAUGGCAUGCUGCUGGGAAUGGGCUGAAGGAGGUUUUGGGCCAUGCCACAGGAAGUGCUUGUGAUCUUUUCAGUUCACCUGUCUUGUUUGCAGUGGGCUAGGAAGAUGUGGGUGUCAAAGUGGAAAGGGCUGUAGCAUCAAAGGAUGUGCUAAUUCAGUUGCCCAGCUGCAAAAACUCACUGCAGUAGAUGUCACAUGGAAGUAGCAGUUAAAAGGGAGCACAGAAAUGGUAAGUGGGCAGUAGUCUGCCCCUGGAGACCUCUCAGAUUUAACUGCUCAAAAAGCUAGGAAUGGGACUAACUUUUGAUAGUCCUUUGUGGAUUUUUUUGUAGUUGACAGAGCUUUCUGAAAUGUGUCUAAAUAACCCCAGGAUCCCCCUGCCUUUAUAUACUGGAUUGGAGGAUUUGUGGAGGUCCUCAGGAAACAGUCUGUGUUAUCCCUUCCUCCUCAGCAAACGUGCAUGCCCAGGAUCCUCAGGUGAUCAGAGCUAGGAAUGCUAAAGCAACUUCACUUACUGCUGAGCAGAGCCCUGGCCAGGAGAGCACCAUCACCUGCCUUGCUUACCUUUUUGAUUAAAAAAUAUCUCUAUUGAAGGGCACGUAGUUGGGAGCCUCAAGAGAAUAUACAGAGCAGAGACAAAAACACUAGAUUUGCCUGUUUUCUCAACCAUAUUGACUCAUUAAAAAGAAUUUAUUAGCAAAUAGAGCUUUAUGUUGUUGGGACACAUUUCACGUCAUGUCACCAUGCCAAAGCCAAGAUGCAUUAUUUGUCCUGCAGUAAUGCAAACCACCAGUUGCCAACCAGAAAGCAAAGCCCAGUUGUUGCAGGUACUAUAGAACUAACAAAUAUCCCAACAGAAAAACCCCCAAGAGUUCAUAAUCCUUUUUUUUUUCAUAAUGUAUUGACUUUGAGCAACAGAUCAAUAACUUUCUCCAAACGCUUUUUAAUUAGCAUUUUAAAAUAUUUUAGCUUCAAAUAAUACUAGAUCACAUUCAGAUACUGUUCAGAUGUGUAUGCUGUUGGUAGACCACAUGCAAAUUGAAACCAACUGCCUUUUAAACCUCGCUGUGUCAAAUGAGUGUUCAAAUAUGAAAGGGCCAAAUCUUUAAUGCCAGGUACUUGCUAUUGUUUUGCUCAGCUUGUUAAUUCUAGGUAAAAAACCCCAAAAUAACAAAACACAAAACAAAAAACAAACAAACAAAAAACAAAAAAAAAAAAGCAAAAAAGGAGGAAAAUAUUGCAGUCCUGGUAAUAUUAGCAUUAAAUAUUGCUAGAACCCCCCAGAAUUUUAGCAUCCCUGAGAAAGUAGUUUUCUUUGACUGUGGAUUCACACCUAUUCUAUUAUAUCUGCUUGCCUCCUUGGUUGUUCUUGCAAAGAGACUGGUGGAAUUUGCAUUCAUAACCAUGCUGCAUUAACAUCCCAUGUGCAUAAACCAGAAUAGAGCUGGCCCACAGAAAGGCCUAGAAAUGUGCAUGAUUGCAUUAGCUGAGCCUGUGUGCCAAAGUACAGCUAAAACCCCUAACUGCAAACUUCCUAUUGCUGGCCUUCCAGUUGUCUCAUUCUGACUUGGCACUGCUUGAUUACUUUUAUGCAUAAUGUAUCAGCAUUUAACUUUUUCUUUUGCCCUUAGCCACUCAUCACCUUCACUUUCCAAGCCAUUUUUGGGGAUUUAGGUGUUCCUAACAUUUGUGUUCUGUGAGUUAUAUGGCUCUGCUGUUGAUCUACCUGCUGUGGUACAUAAGCUGGGCUGAAGUGUCUGCUCUGGUGAGAUCAGGGGAGUGAUGAGCAAGCUGGGCAUGUGGAGUGCUGUGGCUCAGCCUUUGGAUCCCAGGUUAUGCAAAGGGCUGCCUUUCAAUAGGUAGCCAGGCUAUGGCAACUCCCAAGCACAGCAUGGAGGUCAGCAGUGGGGAAAACCAGUCUGGUUUUGGACAGUAGUGGAAUCCAGCCAUGUUGAUGGGAGUUGUGUUGGUUGUCUUUGGGGCCUGAGAGCUGUAACCAUUGAGCAUUGUGCCAGAGUUGGCCUCAAAUCACUUACAUUUUCAAGGCAGUUCACUAAAGUAGGCUACUCCUAACUUUGGAUUUCUUUCCACAGAUUAAAUAAAUGUAAGGCCUAUGGUGCUUGGUUAUUGGUGUCUGAGCUGUGUGUUGUGCGUGGGGUUUUUGUUUGGGAGUUUUGGUAGCAAAAAACACGUCAUGUCGUUCUGCAUGGAGCUGUGUCUCUGUCCUGCACCAGGAAACACGUCCUUUCUAUGCAACUGUCACGUGUUGGCACAAGGGCUGAUGCUGCCUUCAGCAGUGAAAGCUGGGUUUUGGCAUGGAGGCUUUUCUGGAGGUGGACACCAAACUGGGCAGGGGAGGGACGGAGAGGAAACUUGAGGGGAAAUGCUGGUUUCUUUCAAAUGCUCAUUGUGCCUAGGAUUAAGAUUCUUUGUUUUGCUGCCUGCCUGGCUAACCAAAGCUGUGUUGACAGCAACUCAAAGUGCAUAUUUGCGAUCUUAUUCUUGCCAUAUUGUAAAAAUUGCCUACGGCUAGAAGCUUAGACAGAAAACAUUUGAUCCAUCCAAAUAUAGAAGGGAAAUACAUUUUGAAGUGUUCUUUUCAGCUAGAAGCAAGGGUUAGAAUUUGUUCUGUAUUACUGUGUAUUUUCUAAUAGAACAGGUUUACUUGCCACUUAAAUAAACUUUGUUCCACAACAACAGCUUCAAGAGAAGCAGUGUAAACAGCAAAGCUGCCUGAAAGAGCACUGUGUUUCAAACCUGUCUAUAAAUAAUUGUUUUCUCCUAUGUUUUCAUCUUGAAUCAACUUCUUGAUUGUCGUCCCCCCCCCCCGAAACAAAUUGUGCUGGCACCAGCUUCUUGAGUGCUUCCCAGUGGGUUGCCUGCCUGUGACACAGGCCAGCCAAGUCCUGCCUGCAGGCCAGGCAGGGGUUACACCGUGGUACUUAACAGCCAAACACCAGCCCUGUGAGAGGACUACAGCUUAGCCCAGCUCUCCUGGCUCCUCUUUCUGAUGCUAUGAAAUUGCAGCAUUCCUGUAUACAAGCCUGAAGGUACAGAUGAAAUCCUAACAAGCAAAAGGGAUCUUCCUUUUUAUUUAUAGGGAUGGCAGGGCAGUGGGGAAAUGCAGGCCCCCUGUUGAGACCUAGCAAUAAAUGACUCUUAGUUUUGUUAUGUCUUAAACUCCUAGUAGUCCAGGAGUUGUUCAGACUUCUCAGUUUUUGUGUGUAAUAACCAAAUUUUCAGUGUGAAAAUCUGCAGAGUGAUUCUCUUGACUUGGACAAUCUUCUGAAUUGUAUUAAAAUGUUUGUUCUUAGCUCUUUAGAUUCACUUUGGGUAUGUCAAAAAAGUAACACUUGGGAAAAAAAAUAAAAAAGAAAAAGCCCUAAAACUUUGGCUUAGUACAUUUCCGUUAUAAAACGAAGCAUGGGUUUUGUGGAAUUCUGUGCUGUUUGGGCUUUUGUGUAAAAGGCUGAAGGCAGAUUGUUAUUUAAACCAGGUGCAAAUAAAUAUCCCUGUAAUGUAUAUGAACAAAUUUAAACCGUGUAUUGUAAGUAUAUAAACUGUAUAUUAAAGACA